GACGAACGCUGGCGGCGUGCUUAACACAUGCAAGUCGAACGGAAAGGCCCUGCUCUUGUUGGUUGCUCGAGUGGCGAACGGGUGAGUAACACGUGAGUAACCUGCCCCUGACUUUGGGAUAACUUCAGGAAACUGGGGCUAAUACCGGAUAGGAGCUCCUGCUGCAUGGUGGUGGUUGGUAAGAUUCGGCGGUUGGGGAUGGACUCGCGGCUUAUCAGCUUGUUGGUGGGGUAGUGGCUUACCAAGCCUUUGACGGAUAGCCGGCCUGGGAGGGUAGACGGCCACAUUGCGACUGAGAUACGGCCCAGACUCGUACGGGAGGCAGCAGGGGGGAAUAUGACACAAUGGGCGCAAGCCUGAUGCAGCAGCGCCGCGUGCGGGAUGACGGCCUACGGGUUGUAAACCGCUUUCGCCUGUGACGAAGCGUGAUUGACGGUAAUGAGUAAAGAAGCAACGGCUAACUACGUG
rnacentral:rRNA from 1 species